AAAUUUUCACUUUGGAUUUCAAAACAACAUGGCUGCUGCCAUUCUAUUGUCUCACACAAAAAGCAGGUACGGUUGAGUGGAACAACACACCUGCUAGUGGCAUGCAAGUACAGGUGGGCUCCUGGAGUAAGGUUAGAGUGGAUCUCCCAAGUACCAUCUCCUCUCCAUUGUCCACAGUUGUGCUUUCUACAGUUUUAGUUGCCCAAAGUCAACUGCAAUUCAAAAAUAUUAAGUAAAAAAUUCUAAAAAUAACCAAGUCAUAAGUUUUAAAUUUCAUGCUAUUCUUAGUAGUGUGAUGAAAUCUGACACCAUCCUGUUCCUUCCUGCUUGGACAUGGGGGCCCCUUUGUCCAGCAUAUGCAUGCAGUGUACGUUAGACACUAGGUGUCUCAGUUACAGGUCAGCUGUGGCAGUAUCACAGCAAUUGUGUUCCAGUAACACUUAUUUUAUUUAAUAAUGGUCCCAAAGUGUAAGAGUUGUGAUGCUGACAAUUUGGAUAUUCCAAAGAGAAGCUGGAGAUGGGAUCCCUUUGAG